rnacentral:rRNA from 1 species
UACGGGGGGGGCAAGCGUUGUUCGGAAUUACUGGGCGUAAAGGGCUCGUAGGCGGCCAACUAAGUCGGAUGUGAAAUCCCCAGGCUCAACCUGGGAACUGCAUCCGAUACUGGAUGGCUUGAAUUCGGGAGAGGGAUGCGGAAUUCCAGGUGUAGCGGUGAAAUGCGUAGAUAUCUGGAGGAACACCGGUGGCGAAGGCGGCAUCCUGGACCGGCAUUGACGCUAAAGCGCGAAAGCCAGGGGAGCAAACGGG